UUGCCUCUUGGACUGGGACAACUGUUGGAAACGACAGCUAAUACCGGAUAUUAUGAGAUUCUCGCAUGAGAAACUUAUGAAAGCUAUAUGCGCCAAGAGAGAGCCUUGCGUUCCAUUAGCUAGUUGGUGGGGUAACGGCCCACCAAGGCGACGAUGGAUAGCCGGCCUGAGAGGGUGAACGGCCACAAGGGGACUGAGACACGGCCCUUACUCCUACGGGAGGCAGCAGUGGGGAAUAUUGGACAAUGGGCCACAAGCCUGAUCCAGCAAUUCUGUGUGCACGAUGAAGGUCUUCGGAUUGUAAAGUGCUUUCAGUUGGGAAGAAGAAAGUGACGGUACCAACAGAAGAAGCGACGGCUAAAUACAUGCCAGCAGCCGCGGUAAUACGUAUGUCGCAAGCGUUAUCCGGAUUUAUUGGGCGUAAAGCGCGUCUAGGCGGAAAAAUAAGUCUGAUGUUAAAAUGCGGGGCUCAACUCCGUAUUGCGUUGGAAACUGUUUUUCUAGAGUACUGGAGAGGUGGGCGGAACUACAAGUGUAGAGGUGAAAUUCGUAGAUAUUUGUAGGAAUGCCGAUGGAGAAGUCAGCUCACUGGACAGAUACUGACGCUGAAGCGCGAAAGCGUGGGGAGCAAAC
rnacentral:rRNA from 1 species